AUAGACCCCCUAUCUCAUUUUGGGGUCUUACAAUAAAGCCUAGAUGGAUUUUCCUCAAAUGUUUCUCAAUAUGUCAACCUUAAGGAUAACAAAUUCUCAGGAUUAAAAGUCAUAAUUGUCAUAUAAUUCUACAAAAUUUACUCCCUCUUUCCAUGCGUGGUAUGCUUUGCAAAUCUGUGUCUGAACUUCUUAUUGAGUUGUCUAUUUUUUUCAAAGUGGUUGGUGCAAAAUGUUUGAGCGUAGAGGAGUUGGAAUAAAUAGAAGCUCAAAUACCAAAAACAUUGUGCUAGUUAGAAAAAGUGUUCCCUCCUGCAUUUUUUGAUGUCAUGGUGCACUUGUCUAUUCAUCUACCUGAUGAAGCUAAGAUUGCUGGACCAAUUCAGUAUCGAUGGAUGUAUCCAAUAGAGAUAUACCUACACUUUUUGAAGUGUUUUAUUGGUAACAUGGCUCACCCUGAAGGUUCAAUUGUAGAGGGAUAUUUAGCAGUUGAAUGUAUUACUUUAUGUUCAAGGUAUUUGAAUACAAUAAAGACAAAGUUUAAUUGUCCGGAGAGAAAUUAUGAUGGUGGUGUAAUUGAAUCGGAUGGUGGUUUGACAAUAUUGUGAACCUGGAAAAAGUUUAAAGGGUAGCACACCAGACAAACUUGAUUCAAACGAUUUGGAGGACGCAAAUUACUAUAGUUUGAAGAAUUGUAAUGAAAUUCAACCAUUCCUCGAAGAAUUUUCACAAAUUCAUAGUGAGACCUCUCAACAAAGUUCAGAUGUGGAGUGGAAUAGAAAAUUCAUUAGUUGGUUAUAAAAAAAGGUUAGUAGAAAUUAACUGGUUUUCUUAAAUCAAGAAUGCAAUUAAAUAUUGUUUUCCAAAAAGCUAUUUGAUGUUGUUAGGUUGCAGGAUUAUACAAAUAUGAUGAUAGUAAGAGAAUGAAAGAUUUGUUAUCUUUAUCACGUGGCCCUAUGCCAUAUGUCACAAGAUGCAAAGGUCAUAUUGUAUGGAUAUAGGUUUCAUGUGAAAGAGUAUAAUCCAUAUCUAAAAACUCAAAAUUGUGGAGUGGUUGUAGUAGGUGAGACCGGUGAAGAACAAAACCUUAUGAAUUAUUAUGGCGAGUUAACUAAGGUUCUUGAAUUACAAUUUGUUGGGGGAAGAAGAGUGAUUUUAUUCCGAUGUAUGUGGUUUGAUGUAUAUGAUCAAAGAGGGGGGUUAUAAUGGAUGAAUAUGGAUUUGUAAGUGUUAACUGUCGACGAUAUUUGAAAAUAAAUGAGUCAUUUGUAUUAUCUAGCCAAGCAUCACAAGUAUUUUAUGCUAUCUAUCAUUCCUAUGAAGGUUGACACAUAGUGCAAAAGGUUCAACCUCGUGAUUCUUUUGAUAAUUUGGAAAAAAGGAUGAUGACUUAGAAGAUUUAGAUAAAUCUACACAAGUGAAAAGAAAAAGAACUCAUUAAGGUUUGGAGCUUUUUCAUGCUUUCCUUUACUUUAUUUAUUUUUGUAUGGUAAUGAUUAUUUAUAGUAUUUCUCUUAAAAUUUGUUAAUGCACUUGGUUUUUAACGUCACCUUGAUCUUACUAUAGUAGUAAUGGUUCAUGCUAGGAACUUAUGUUACAUGUACAUGUAUCUCUUUUCUGAAUGCGUUUUCAGUUCACAUUUAUUCUUAUGAAAAAAUCCCUAACCUAUUUGAACUUUUGUUUUGAAGACUUCGCUCUUAUUUUUUUGUUAUCUAGGUUCACAUGAAUCCCUCGAAAACUCUGAAGUAUGAAAUGGGAAAAUAUUCAAAAAUUUCCAAGCAUGAACUCAUUCAACCAGGUGCCUUAGCAAAAUGACUAGGUCAAAGUUCGAAAUCUAUGAGCACAUUCAGAGUUAAUGCU